rnacentral:lncRNA from 1 species
CAUGGUCGAUAGCGAGAAUGGGGAUACUAAUUGGGUAAAUCAAUUCGUCCAUAAUAGGAGGUACACAUGGAAGAGGAGGUUUUCGUGUUGCAGAUUUGAAGGGAUUUUGAAUUGAGUAUGGAAAGAGAAUUCAAAAGGUAUCCAAGUUCAAGAAGUAAAAGAAACAUGUUAGAUUCAAUUUCUUGGGGACUCCUAACUACAGACAAAGGAACAUAGAAUAGACGAGAGAGUUGCCAUUCAUGCUGCACGUAGAGAGAGAGGGAUGCAAAGCCAAGAAG